rnacentral:rRNA from 1 species
CCCUUAGAUGUUCUGGGCCGCACGCGCGCUACACUGAUGCGUUCAACGAGUAUAAAACCUUGAUCGAUAGGUCUGGGUAAUCUUGUGAAUGCGCAUCGUGCUAGGGAUAGACUGUUGCAAUUUUCAGUCUUGAACGAGGAAUUCCUAGUAAACGCAAGUCAUCAGCUUGCAUUGAUUACGUCCCUGCCCUUUGUACACACCGCCCGUCGCACCUACCGAUUGAAUGACUCGGUGAAAAAUUGGAACCGUGAGUCUGUUUGCUUAAUUGCGAGUGGAUUGAUGGGAACUUUUUUAAACCUCGCCAUUUAGAGGAAGGUGAAGUCGUAACAAGGUUUCCGUAGGUGAACCUGCGGAAGGAUCAUUA